GUAGGAUAUUGUCGAAACCUGCCCAGCAGAGAGACCCGCGAACACGUUACAACACUCGAGGGGGGUGAGGGGUGCGAACACGCCCCGGACCCUCCUCGCCGGUUGCUUGUGGACCCGUCCCUCGCCCCCGGCACCAAACGAACUCCGGUGCGGAAUGCGUAAAGGAAAGACAACUAGACUAUCCCCGCCAUCUAGGCUGCGGUAACGGUGACUCUGCCUCGGUGGUCUCUUCGGGAUCGGUUGUUAGUAUGAAAAACGACUCUCGGCUACGGAUAUCUCGGCUCUAUCAUCGAUGAAGAACGUACCGAAAUGCCAUACUUGGUGUGAAUUGCAGAAUCCCUGUGAACCAUCGAGUCUUUGAUCUCAAGUUGCGUCCGAAGCCAUCAGGUCGAGGGCACGUCUGCCUGGGCGUCACACGUCGUUGCCCUCCCGAACUCCCGUCCCGAUCCUACCCGGUCGAGUGGGUACUGUGUGGGGGGGGCGGAUGAUGACCUCCCCUUUAAACGGAACUCACGGUUGGUCCAAAUUCCGAGUCCCCUGUCACGUCGUCUUGGCAACAGGUAGUCGAUCAUUCGGCCCGUCGCCACGUGCGUUGGACACGCAUCGGGAUUCCGACAGACCCCAAUGCGCCCGUCACGGGUGCCUCCAACUUGACCUCAAGUCCCGCGAUU
rnacentral:rRNA from 1 species